GAAAUGUUGCAUAUAAAAGAUUUUUAGUGUAGCUUCGUUGUAUUGCUUCGAGUUCUGCUGUUAACUUUAUAUUGUGUGGUGACCAUAGUUAGGAGCAGUAGUCCAAGUGGCAGAGGAUGAAUGUCUUCCAAAGGACCAUUAGUGUCUCCUUCUCUCUUGUUAUGAAAGUUCGGAGGAUCCAUCCAGCUGGCCGUCUGCAUUUUAUUCCCAAAUUGGCAAUAUGCACUUGGAAAGAUGCAUCAUUGCUCAUGUCAAUGCCCA